rnacentral:rRNA from 1 species
GGCCGCCUACGGGGGGCAGCAGCGGGGGAUAUUGCACAAUGGGGGAAACCCUGAUGCAGCGACGCCGCGUGAGGGAAGACGGUUUUCGGAUUGUAAACCUCUGUCUUUGGGGACGAAUUGAGACGGUACCCAAGGAGGAAGCUCCGGCUAACUACGUGCCAGCAGCCGCGGUAAUACGUAGGGGGCAAGCGUUAUCCGGAUUUACUGGGUGUAAAGGGGGCGCAGACGGCGAUGCAAGCCAGGAGUGAAAGCCCGGGGCCCAACCCCGGGACUGCUCUUGGAACUGCGUGGCUAGAGUGCAGGAG